AUGACUGUUAUGAACCUUGUUCUUCCUUUUUACAGCACAAUCUGGAUUAAUAGCCCCCGCCCAUUCCCUAUCGAGAUUAGCCUACGGAUCAUCCGAGACACCAUCAGAGGAGAUGGAGUUGUCCAUCCGUUGUGCUUCAAUCUUGCCGUGCGUAAGAUUACUACCGACGCAGCGGAGAGGAGCGCAGGCACCAGCUCUGUUGGAAAGACACAUUUUUUCAAUUUGGGAUUCCAUGAGCAAGCACGGGCGCUAAGGCAGACUUGGUUAAGCCAAGAACAUCGCACCAAUGCGCUGAUUAACAAUGUCGUGCUUGAACCUUUUCCAAGAUACGACGUGUUUCACACCCCUACAAUUGUAUGUUUUCUCAUUCUUAUAAAUUAG
rnacentral:rRNA from 1 species